AUAAUUUUUGUGCAGUGCAUAAAUAGAAGUAAAUUCCUCUUAAGUGCUUCUCUUGGCUUAUUGCUGCACCAGGUUUAGCCACCUUUAAAGAAAUAGUUUUAUAAAUAAAUGAUGUCCCCACUGUUUUAGAAAAUAAAUUGUUUACCUUUUUCCAGUGGUGAUACAGUCUUCUCGCAGCAGCUCUGCCCCCAGAAGAUCACCAAUACUGAUUACGUCAGGGUGAAUCCUAUGCUUCUCGUAAAGAAGCAUUGGUGACCUACGGCCUGUGUGCAGUAAUUGGCAUGACCCACAAAAUUGAACCCAAUGCUUCUGUAUGAGUUUUAAAUCAUGAUCAAAGCAAAUGCUCAAGAAAAGCAGGAAGUAUGCAUCGAACAACU